UCAAAGAUAAGUGACCAUAGGAG
rnacentral:misc_RNA from 1 species